AGUGUAGAGUUUGGAGAAAUUCAUCAAAUUCUAAAAUUCAAUGUUGAUGUACCAGACAACAUUCAGCUAGCAGAAAGCAGUACCAUAGUACUACAAACUAAAACACAGCAGUACAAUUGACACAUGAACGUUUUGUGCUACCUAGUACCAGUACUCAUCACACAAAUUUUCAUAGUACAGACAUCAUUCGUGUACUGCAGAGUACAAAGCAUUUCUCCUACUAAAUAUAAAGGAUGGAAUCGAAUCGUACAUGCACUCAAGAGUGCCUUUUGGGCUUAAUCUAGUUAACAAAAUUUCUAAUGGGAGAAUAAUCUUUCUCAGAACGAGAUGUUGCUUAAUGUUAAGGAUGUCCACAACAAGGUUGAGGUAACAGGACAGAGCAGGGGAACAGGCAGAGCAUGGAUGGAGUCAUCAACACAAUAGAGCUAAGAAAGUGAGAGUGACAGAGAAAUCAUUUGUUGUGGUUCUGCUCAUGCACUGCCUCUUCCCUGGCUCUGUCUCCUUUUCUCCUUUCCUUAAUCCCCUUUUCAUUUAUUCACUCAUUAUGAUCUAUAUGCAAACUUCACAACAUACCAACAUUUCAAACAAGUUUUGUUUUGCAGGAAUGGACCAAAUCGAACAGAUUGGCAAACAAAAGAACCAGGAGUGACAUUAAAAGACAAGGCAACCACAGAGACACUUGUAACAAGGAGAAAGGCGGCUUUAUGUGGAAAUUUAUAGCCAAUAACUGAAACAUGAAAGAAGAACGGUGACAAAUCAUCCGCAGUUUUCUGUCCACGUUUUUCUUUCUUUCUUCUCCAACUUUCAACAUUUUACGUUGUAAGUAUGGUAGGUGAAUUUGGUGGCUUAAAUUUAACGUUGCUUUACCUUUC